CCUUUGUAGUUCUCUUAUGCAGGUCGCAAACAGAUGGACAGAGCCUUCAGUCUUUUGAAUAAAGUCAAAUAUUGCACCGAAGGAAAAAAUGUUCUUGCCCAUGUCACUCCAUGUAUCAGCAGGACCUGGCCCUACAUACCACAGUUGCUGUGACAACUGUGGACAGAUCUGAAUACAGCAAUUAUCAUAACAUGGGUUAUAGUAAGUCACAUCCCAAAUUGAUGUUCCAUAUUUGUUUUUGCACAUUGAAAAGGAAAAACAUUGCUCACAGCACCGGAAAGUGUUUGCUGGGCUAGUUGUGUUUUGCGGUUCCCUGUCCCAGAGCCACCUAUGCAGCCCGUUGUUCCCUGUGGUCACAUGUAAAAGUGUCAGGGAUGCUGGCUUUCCUGCUUACCAACAGAGCUAACUUCUGGAUGCAAAAAUCUGUAAGUCAGAAGCUAUGGGCUUAGAAAAAGAAAAAUAAAAAGGUCAAUGCUUUCCUUCUUCCCUUUCUGCUACAUACAGUGAACAGCUGAGACAAAAGCAGCCUUACUAAGUGCUCACUUGUGUUUGAGCACAAUUAUAAAAUUGCCAUUCUAAUUUCCAUCAACAAAGAUACAACCUGUUAUGUUAUUAUACUGCCUGUGAAUUGACUAGGAAACUGUUUCAACUGAAUAAAGUGCUAAUGAAGGUCUAAAUGCUAUCCCAUUAGCUCUGAUUGCAGAUUAUAUCUUAGUUUGGUGAACACCAUCAAACUAUGCUGGCUAGAGGCUGACAAACACUUUUGUUGCUCAUGUGCUUUCUGCAGAUCUCCAUGGUGAGGUGAGCUGUUCUAUCCCAAUGUUCAUUGUGACAGACUCUGCAUGAUCUGCCCAGCAGGGCCUGUCCAUCAGUGAGCACCACCAGGCCUUUAUGAACAUCACAGCAAUACCUGCACGUAUUUUAAUUUGUUUUGCAUGAGUCAGAGGCUGGUUUGAGGCCAAUGGUUAAACACAGGUGAAAUAGCUGGAGUUGCAGUGCAUUUUAGUGCCUCAGAAGUGGCACAGUAAGAAGGAAGGGGAAAGAGUCUACUUCCUCAUUACAAGAGCAUGGCCAUUGAUACCUCCCUGGUGCUGUUUCAUGCUUUGACUGCUUCAAAUGAGAUCUCUUCAAUGAGAAUAGCCAGAUAAGUCUCCCAGAUACAUGCAGGAAGACAAAGGGCACCAAGUUCUACAGCUCAUAUCCUCUUUGUGUUCAUAAAGGAAUAUGAUCAGUCUGGUCUUUUUUUUUUUGGCUGCGGAGUGAUCUAUCUCCAUCACAGCAACUUUUCUCCUGCCAUGAGGAUGCCACAGAUCAGGCAGAGAAAAAGGGGAUUGUGGCCUAAGGAGCGAGCAGCAAGCAUUGUGGUGUCAGCGGGGAGGAGCAUGGAACACAAGUAUAGCAAGAUGGGGAUCAGUGCAGCACAAAAGAUUGGUAUCAUGGAUGCUGCUAAGAUGGUCAUCCUGCUGAACUCAUACCAGUCACUGUGGACUCCUCAGCAAUUUGAACAAAGGAGUUGUCUUUUUUAUUACUUGUAAAGCCUUUUCACAAUUCUUUGACUGGAGCACUUUGGACAUAUAAUAAUAUAUUAACAAUUUAAAGAAAUAAGGUAAUACUGCCACUGCUCUAAGUUUUUCCAGAAGAUUAGAUCAUUGUUAAGUGGAGUGGUAGCAUGGCACUGAGCACAGACUGUGCACAGAACAAGAUGUUGUUGUGUGCAGGUAAACCUGCAUAGAUCUGCUUCCUGCAUCACUCUGGCUUUACCUUUUCAGCAUGACCGGAUUGGUAUUUAAAUAGAGAUCGCAUACUGUUUCUCAGUUUCCUAUAAAAUGUUUUUAAUUCUCUCAACCUGAGCAGUAAGUCAGUAUUUUGGGUAACAUUGCAAAUACCUGUGUCAACACAGAAAUUGACUGAGCACAUGAAAACUGAAAAAUUCUGACUCACAUCCAAAAAGCAUCAUAAAAGCAUGGUAAAAGCAUGGCAAAAGGCCUUUUCCUACACACUAUUUCCCAAAGAGAAUUUCCUUGUUCCAAAUUCUAGGCACAUUUCUAAGCCUUCUCUUCAUUUAUCCGAUGGCUGCAGGAAUAGGAUUUCUGCAGGUGUAGUUUCCGCAUCGGCUCAGACCCACCUGAUCAUGCAGUGCUGCUGGAGGUGAUGGCCCCGUCCCGUUAGCGUUCACGUAGGUGUGGACUUGGCUGCAUUGCAGAGUCAGCUAGGAUGGAAAGCAGCCACCUUGCUGCCGGGUUAAUUUGCAGCUGGAUCAAUUCCCUCAUCUGCCUGCAUGCCCAGGGGUUGCUAACGUCCAUACUUGCCACCAUCUCUCAGCAACAGCACAAGCUCGGAUCAGUUUAUGCUGAUCGUAAAGCCCCACCCUAAGGCUGUUUCUUUGCUGCUCUGGCUGAUUCACUCACAAAGGCAGCCCGGCCCUGGAGCCCUGCCUUCUGCAGCCCUGUUCCUUGUACUGUUUGAUUCUGGUGCUUUCCACAGUCAUUCAAGGAAGGGGCAUUUAUCAGUUCCGUUUCUUCAUCUGAAAGAAAGGCGGCCAUAUAACUGCCUGUAAACCAGAAGGGAAUAAUGAACCGCUUUAUUUCUAGUGCAGUGUAAUUGCACUGUCAUUUUCACAUGUGCUCCCAGAAGAGUACGGUGCUGCGGAAGACCAUCUCUUGUGGAAAUUAUGGCUACGGAUGAAGGUCAGGGAUGAGGCUGCCUGCUUCCAGAGGUUUUGCUGCCUCGCUCCCUGUGCAUCCUUCUGAAUUCCGCACGGGUGAACAAAGCCACGCUGCCAUCAGCAAACCAAGCACAGAAAGCAGCGUGUGAAAAGGAAUUCGGGGAGCAACGCAUCUACCAGACAGGAGAAAGGCGAGAGCACUGCGACAGGCCGCCGGCGCUCUGCCUGCGAACCCCAGAUCCCACCC